GCUUGAAGUCGGAAUGGCCGAAUAAAUCAACGACCGACCAAGUAAUUGUGAUCAAAUUCACGCUUUGUUCACAAAAGCUCGAAUGCUUCUUGGAGCUAUUCCAACAAUUUCUCCUACAACUCGAUCACCCAAUUCGUUCGAAUCUAUGUGUAUGUGUAUAAAAUGUGGCGAAGAGACUCACACUUCGAAUUAAUACAUUAUCGGAAGAUAAAAGACCGAGCACAAAUUCCUUUACACAUUGAGUUGCCGAUCGAUUCUCUAGAGAGGAAACGCGGGACGAAGGUUGCUCGAGUUGGCUCCGAAGCUAGGACAACGGGUGCAUUUCGCGGAUGGCACGAACUUAAGAUG